rnacentral:tRNA from 8 species
GCGAAGGUGGCGGAAUUGGCAGACGCACUGGAUUUAGGUUCCAGCGCCGCGAGGCGUGCGGGUUCAAGUCCCGCCCUUCGCACCA